ACUUGAUGAUGUGGCCAUUGACAUAGCAGGUCCCUAAAGCGCUCCCAGGUAUUGAAAAAUAAUUCCCCACCCAUUUGUGAGAAACUAGUAAUGGCUCUUCUAAGCU